rnacentral:rRNA from 1 species
GCCCUACGGGGGGCAGCAGUGAGGAAUAUUGGUCAAUGGGCGGAAGCCUGAACCAGCCAAGUCGCGUGAGGGAAUAAGGCCCUACGGGUCGUAAACCUCUUUUGCCGGGGAGCAAGGGCGGGGACGUGUCCCGGCCCGGAGAGUACCCGGAGAAAAAGCAUCGGCUAACUCCAUGCCAGCAGCCGCGGUAAUACGGAGGAUGCGAGCGUUAUCCGGAUUUAUUGGGUUUAAAGGGUGCGUAGGCGGGCUUUUAAGUCAGCGGUAAAAAUUCGGGGCUCAACCCCGGCCGGCCGUUGAAACUGGGG